CCCUUAGAUGUCCUGGGCCGCACGCGCGCUGCACUGAUGCAUUCAACGAGUUUUACCUUGGCCGAGAGGCCUGGGCAAUCUUUUAAACCUGCAUCGUGAUAGGGAUAGAUUAUUGCAAUUAUUAAUCUUGAACGAGGAAUUCCUAGUAAACGCAAAUCAUCAAUUUGCAUUGAUUACGUCCCUGCCCUUUGUACACACCGCCCGUCGCACCUACCGAUUGAAUGGUCCGGUGAAGCCUCGGGAUUGUGGCCAGUUCACUUUAUUGGGAGUUGGCUGCGAGAACUUGUCUAAACCUUAUCAUUUAGAGGAAGGUGAAGUCGUAACA
rnacentral:rRNA from 1 species